CAGCCGCCGCGGUAAUACGAAGGGUGCAAGCGUUACUCGGAAUUACUGGGCGUAAAGCGUGCGUAGGUGGUGGUUUAAGUCCGUUGUGAAAGCCCUGGACUCAACCUGGGAAUUGCAGUGGAUACUGGAUCACUAGAGUGUGGUAGAGGAUAGUGGAAUUUCCGGUGUAGCAGUGAAAUGCGUAGAGAUCGGAAGGAACAUCUGUGGCGAAGGCGACUAUCUGGGCCAACACUGACACUGAGGCACGAAAGCGUGGGGAGUAAACAGGAUUAGAUACCCCCGUAGUCCCUGUCUCUUAUAA
rnacentral:rRNA from 1 species